ACUGAAGGCACCAAGCAUUUGGUGUCAGUGGACAGACACACAUGAACCCCUGAGGCUGGGACUACCCUCCCUCCCCCUUCCUCUGGGUGCCCCCACACCAUUGUGCAUCAACACUGAAAACGUCCAUUUGGUCCUUCCUGGCAGUAGGUUCCUGGUGAGAAUCUAUUUCCUUAAUAGCACUUGAGGAUGGCCUGUGAACCCAAGAAGCAAUGGGUCUUGGCCACCUAUGGCCAGCUUAGGUCAAGGCACAGAGAGAAGCACAAAGCAGAGCCCAAAUGAGAGAGAAAGCCCCUGAAAUGUGGCCCUAGACAAGCCUACCCUUCUGCUACCUCUGAUGCCUACUGAAUGACCCUGUCGUGUUGAGAUUCCUUGGCCAGCCUGACAUAUCUCCUUCCCGUUCUCAUCAAGGUUGGGUCUCCACUGGAGUGUUCAGCCCAAGAUUUUUGCUAAAAUCUCACUCUGUAGAAAGUUGUGCCUCGACCCCCCCACCGCCCAAAACUACAACUGAAGCGGCAGCACAGGGCUGCCCCUCACACCGUCCUUUCAAGAAUUCACUCUCCAGAGGGAAGGAUGCCACGGUGCAGGAUUUCACUUUCAUGCACCUGAGCUCACGCUGCCAAUUUUUCCCGUCACCGGAACCCAUCAGAGACCGGACUAAGUCAACAACUAUUUCCCUAUCUCAUUCUCUUGCAGAGAACACAGCCAUAGCUGCACAGAGAGUAAACAUACACGGUCUAAUCUUUCCCCUCACUGGGACAGUUUGUUGAAAUGGGUGAAAGGAUGCAGACCCCACCGAAAUGGUUUGAUAAGAGCUGUAAGUCUGGUUUUGUGAUUAUUAAACAGAGGGAGCAUAACUCAACUGCUUCUGAUCAUUUUUAAGAGCCCUCUCUCUUACCAGAACCUUCCUUCCUACCGUGUAUGCAUAUGGUUUCUACACACGUAGAAGGGUGGAGGGUCUUCCAAGUCAUGUGCAUGAACGCCCGUUCAACUUCUCCGUUCCUUGGGGAGGGUGCCUGGACUCUAGAGAGAGAGAAAAUCCUACCAUAACUUUACGAUUGCUCAUUGGGUUAUUAACAACGUUAUAAGAGAGGAACCAUAGUCUGAGUGAUUCAUACUGCACAAGAAUUAUGCUGAAAAAAGUAGUUAAUGCAGUCUGGGAUAUGCAAAGUGUUCAUUUCUUAGAGCAAGGGUCAACAAACUACAGACCACAGGCCAAAUCUGGCCCACAGCCUAUUUCUGUAUGGCUAAGAAAUUACAUUUGCAUUUCGAAUGACUGGAAAAGAUCAAAAGAGGAAUAAUAUUUUGUGACACGUGACAUUCAGAUUUCAGUGUCCAUAAAUAAAGUUUUAUGGGCACACAUCACCCAUUCAUUGACAUAGGGGCUUUGGCUACUUUGGGGCAGACUUGAGCCUGAAAACUGAAAAGAUUCAUUAUCCGGACUUUUACAGAAAAUGUUUGCUGAUCCCUGAGC